rnacentral:rRNA from 1 species
UACAGAGGUCCCGAGCGUUGUUCGGAUUCACUGGGCGUAAAGGGUGCGUAGGUGGCCUGAAAAGUUUGAUGUGAAAGCUCAGGGCUUAACCCUGAAAUGGCAUUGAAUACUGUCGGGCUGGAGGUUUGGAGGGGGGACUGGAAUUCUUGGUGUAGCAGUGAAAUGCGUAGAUAUCAAGAGGAACACCAGUGGCGAAGGCGAGUCCCUGGACAACACCUGACACUGAGGCACGAAAGCGUGGGGAGCAAACAGG